GCAUAUCAAUAAGCGGAGGAAAAGAAACCAACAGGGAUUGCCUCAGUAACGGCGAGUGAAGCGGCAACAGCUCAAAUUUGAAACCUGGCGCAAGCCCGGAUUGUAAUUUGCAGAGGAUGCUUCUGGGCAGCGGCCGGUCUAAGUUCCUUGGAACAGGACGUCAUAGAGGGUGAGAAUCCCGUAUGCGACCGGCGCGCACCCUCCACGUAGCUCCUUCGACGAGUCGAGUUGUUUGGGAAUGCAGCUCUAAAUGGGAGGUAAAUUUCUUCUAAAGCUAAAUACCGGCCAGAGACCGAUAGCGCACAAGUAGAGUGAUCGAAAGAUGAAAAGCACUUUGGAAAGAGAGUUAAAAAGCACGUGAAAUUGUUGAAAGGGAAGCGCUUCCCACCAGACUCCGUGGCGGUGUUCCGCCGGUCUUCUGACCGGUCUACUCGCCGCCGCGGGGCCAACAUCGUCUGGGGCCGCCGGAUAAGACCGGAGGAAUGUAGCUCAUUGAGUAUUAUAGCCUCCGGGGAUGCGGCGCGCGCCGGGCGAGGUCCGCGCUUCGGCAAGGAUGUUGGCGUAAUGGUGGGCAGCGGCCCGUCUUGAAACACGGACCAAGGAGUCUAACAUCUAUGCGAGUGUUCGGGUGUCAAACCCCUACGCGUAAUGAAAGUGAACGGAGGUGGGAACCGCAAGGUGCACCAUCGACCGAUCCUGAUGUCCUCGGAUGGAUUUGAGUAAGAGCAUAGCUGUUGGGACCCGAAAGAUGGUGAACUAUGCCUGAAUAGGGUGAAGCCAGAGGAAACUCUGGUGGAGGCUCGCAGCGGUUCUGACGUGCAAAUCGAUCGUCAAAUUUGGGUAUAGGGGCGAAAGACUAAUCGAACCAUCUAGUAGCUGGUUCCUGCCGAA
rnacentral:rRNA from 1 species